GGGGCUACGGCUAGGGUUUCUCACUCUUUCGCCGUUGCCGUCACCAGCCGCCAUAGGGAGCAGUGAGGGAGGGAGCGCAAUGGCGGAGAGGAAGCAGCGCCCUUGAGGUGCUAGAAAGGACGAGGUGGUUACCCGCGAGUACACCAUCAACCUCCACAAGCGCCUCCACGGAUGGCUUAGUUUGGAUCGGCGGGGAUUGGCGGUCGAUCCUGCCCUCCGAUGGAAGCCAACACACGCGGGGGUUGGAAACACGUGGAUGUGCAAAACUGCAUUUGGGUGACGCCGUGGCUGGAGGAAAACCCGCUUGAUCCAAGUUGAUCCAAGCGAGAAAAAAUUAUCGUCACCUGAGGCCGGGAACUCCCACCACUCCCUUCUCGUGACUCACGAGUCGCGAGUUCGCUCCCGCAGCCAGGGUUUGAGUACACCGUGGCGGCGGCAUCAAUUCCUGCCAGCGACAGUUGAAGGUCGUGAGGUGCAUCUUCUCCAAGAUGUGCUAUCUACUCCAAGAUCCCAGGUGUGGUGGCUGAGAUGGGUGGACAUGAUCUGCCUAUCGACAAUGCACGGAUCCAGCCUUGAUCGCUGAGAUGGGUGGACAUGAUGGCUGGGAUGUCACUGAGUACAGUGACCAACCUUGCACAAGCAAUUAGUUCUACAGCGAUCUCACUAAGUGACGUGCUCAUUGGAUCAAGGUGCGCAAGCUGAAGGAACUGAGCAGUGUUCGCUGGGAUGAACAAAGCUACAUGAUCACUCUUGAGGAGUCCCAGUACAAAGGAUAUGUGCAGAUUUACUUGUAGUCACACCCAAAAGAUGCUGAAUUUCUCAACAAGCCUAUCGUCAACUACAUGCCAAUGCAAAUUAUCUUGGCAGCAGCGUUGCAACUGGGAAACCAUCUGAAGCUCCUACUACCAUUGAUGUUGACACCUCUGAAGCCCCUGAAUGAAGAAGGCUCUUCAGGUGUAAGGAGCUAAGGAAUGAAAGAUGCUUCUGGAACAUAAAGGGGCACAACAAAGAUCGAUGUUCUUAUGGCCAAAGUUGCAAUGCAGACAUACAUAUUAAAUCCUUAGCAAUAUACAUUCCAUACAAUUCAGUCAUGUUCAGUCUUUGUUUGCUUGGCAGCGAAUGCUCCAUCUCGCUCGCAGGAGGCAAGGGGCUGGGAGGUGACCCGCUCGCGCAUGUGUCUCGCUCCACUGGGCCAGGCCAUGAAAAAAGAGAACCCCCCCCCCCCCCCCCCCAGACUAUUAUGAUACUGCCACAACAAUAUUCUGUGAUGCCUACUUUUUCAUGAUAGAUCAAGUAUGUAGCUAGUGGGUAACCAGCAACAUGCAUAGCAUAAACAUCCUUUUCUUUUAAAAACAAUAUCAUUUCUACUAAGCCAUAGUGACCAACAAGUUGGAGAUGCUCCUAGCAAAAUCAAUGGUCUCAAAACCUUGCUUAAACCCCUUAGCUAGCCUUAGUCUUUUCACCACUUCUAAACAGCCCGCACACAAACCAGUUUGUCAAAGAAUAGGUGUCUAAUUACCUCUUUUGUGUCAAAAGCAAGUUUUGCUACCUUGCCAGUUACACUUAGCUAGACUAGUUUAGUACUCGUACUAACGUUUUCAGGGUACACAUGCAAACAACCAAGCAACGACAAUUUCUACAAUUUAAGUCUCAUGCAAUUAUAUAUGACCAUAUAUAUAAAAAAAAACUCAUACAUAAUAAAGUUACGUCUCCCAUAGUACAAUUAACUUAUUAAAUUUGAAGCAUGGGCAACAUUAACAUAAAAAGUUGAAAUGACCUAGAAAUCUAUAGCCUGACAAUUGUACAAUCUGUGAUUAGAGCUAGUUAACCUAGCAAAAGUUGAGGCAAGUUUCUCUGCAGCUAGCUAGUGUGCAACAUCAACUUAUGCUAGUGCAUUGAUGGUUCCAUACAAUUUUUAAAUGCCUGCACUCAUAAACCUAGAGUGACAAUA